rnacentral:rRNA from 1 species
GAACACGAAGGUUAAGCUUCAAUGCGCCGAUGGUACUGCAGGGGUGACCUUGUGGAAGAGUAGGUCGUCGCUAGGU